CAAAUAACCAUCAAAAAUUAAAUAUAAUAAACGAAAUUUAAGAAUGAAUAAAAUGAGUAAAUACAAGAAAAAUCACUAGAAACAUGCAAUUACACAUAAAAAACAUAUAGGGGUACAUAAAAGAAUUUAAAAUAAUAAUAAAAGAUACCUCUCUCGAAAUUGUGGUUAAAUGAUGUGAAAUUCGCCCUAUUUAUACUCCAAAAUCAACAAAAUAAUCAAAAUACCAAUUUAUUUAACAAUUAAAAAGAAAAAUGUAAACAUAUAGCAAAUUUACUUCAUUGCUAUAAAGAAAUAUAAAUAACCCUAAAACUCCUAAAAUUUUACUAAUUAAAUGCAUUUAAAUGAGGCAAGAUUAGCAAUUAAAGAAGAUAAACAACUUAUAUUUAAGAAAUCAAAGCUAUCAGGGACCUAAUUACAAAAAUUAAGAAAGUUUUAUGAUCAAAUUAUAAUUAUUACAAAGAUUAGGGGUCAAAAUGAAAAAUAAAGCUUAGGGACCAAAUUGUAAUUAAAUUAUGAACCUAAUUGGAAAAAAUUCAAAAUUUUUAGGUCACUGUAGAAUUACUCAGAAGAUCAAGGACUUAACUACAAAAUCCAUUUUCUAGUUUCUUAAGAGAAAGGCCAUCGGGUCCUUUUAUUUAUUUUCUGGGCCUAAACUCUCUUGGCCCAAUGAAAAAAUCCAGAGAAAAGAUGGACUGGCAUGUUCAUUUCCAACCAUAAAACGUUGGGCUCUUGGCUCCACAGCCCAAAUGCAAACCCAAGGAAAUGACAAGUCUUGGUCCAAGGAAUUUGUAGCCCAUAACACAUUUAUCAAAUAUUUUUGGCCCAAUUUGGAUCAAAUCAAAUAAAAUAAGCAAGAGAAAAAUGGAAGAAAAUAGAGAGAAAAGAAGAGAAGAACAAUCCGGCAGGUCGACCCGCAGAAAACUGCAAAAAAUCAGGCCAAACUGGCCAAAAUCCCGUCGGAAUCGUGUUUCUCAACCUUUUAAACCCGGAUUUUUACAUAAAUGUGAAUCUCAUGUCAUUUUGAACUUAAACAAACGUCAAACAAAAUCCAAAAAUCACAUAAUCAUGAAAAAAUAUGGGAUCUAAGUCUCUUGAACAUGAACAUCCAUAAACUCACUUAAAUCUCUUGUAUUAAUGUCGAAUUGAGCAGGGAUAAGUUGGGAAAAUACCUAAUAAAGCUUUAGAACUAGAUUAAAACUUGAAAAACGCGGAUGGAAGCGGGUUGAUGUGUUAGACAUGAGGAGCAGGAUCUUUAGUAUGAUUUGUAAAUUAAAAUUAAGAAAUAAAUUCUAAAUCAACAUACCUUGAGACAUUGAAGACAUUUUGGAGAAGAAUUCCACAUCCCUUUCACCAAGCUUUCCAGUCACCAAGGUUGUAAACUAUAGACCUUUGCUAUGUGGCCUUCCCUCACCUAACUCUCUAUUAUGUUAUUUUAGUGAUGGGUGAAAAUAAAGUAUAUCAGAGUGGUAAGAGGAACCAGAAGCCCUAUAGUAUUUAUAG
rnacentral:lncRNA from 1 species